ACGCAGAGCUCCAAGAAGUGAGCGCUGCCUCCCGACCCCCUGCCCCCAGCUCCCUUCUCACCGCUGCCUCACCUCUCCUCCCAUGGUGACAUCUGGAGCCGUGUGGUUAGGUCACGGUGCCGAGCUGCUGGUAGCUGCUGAGGAUUGUUGUAGCUGGCAAAGGGAUGGACGCAGGCACCCCCGGCUGCCUCUCCCCUCUGCCAGCCCUGGGACUAUGCAGGGCCCCCCCCCGGCUGGCCCUGCUCGCCCUGGUGUGUACUGCUGCUGCCGUGCCCCCGCCUCCAUCCUCAGCAAUGCCAUCCUGGCCGCACUGCAGCUGCGAGGGAAGGGGGCCGGAAAACGUGAAGAGGAGAAAAAGUUUCUCCAUUGGCAAGAAGUGGCUGUUAGUCUUAGUUUUGUUCAUGGUAAAACUAGUGCAUUGCCUACUGUAAAGAAGCUUUGGUCCUAUUUAUUUUAAGGUCUCUAUUUUUGGGUACAUCCCUGUAAAGUCACCUCCUUGCAGCUCCCUGGCUCGGUGGGUGCUGGGGUGCUCGGUGUUCCUGCAUGCCGUGGGUCCUGUAGCGGGGUGGGGUGGAGGCUGCGGUGACAAAUCCCCUCGGAGAGCGUCGCAAGGUCAGGCGCCCGCCGGGAGCGGGAGCUGCCAUCUUCUGCCAUGGCUCCCCUCCUCUCCCAGCUGCACAAGCCCUUCGUCUCGCUGAGAGCUACCCUGUACCCUGGUCGCACUUCUGGAAAUUACAUACUCUGUCUCUUUUUUGUUGUUGUUUGUUUGUUCAGCACUAUUUCUGGCUCUGAGAAAUAAAGUGAUGAUGAUACCUGUUAACUGUAACCCUUUAUGGAUUAAUAUUUCUUUUGAAAACCACUAGAGUUUGUAUUAAAGCCCACUCCUGGCUAGUGCCAUAUUUAUUUCCUGGCUGUGUGGCUGAUGUCGAGCAUGGGGGCAGGAGAGCUGUCCCGUGACCCCUGGAAUAGGUGAUGCAGAGACAGCUUUCCUGCUGCCCAGCACAGCCGCUUCUGUCAGGCCCAUAGUUGUGUGCAUGCAGCAGUGUCGAGGCAGUCGGACCUAGACCUUCAUCACACGUUUUUUAAGUAAAAAAAAAGAGUAUCUUCUAUUUAUGUGCUGUAAGUAGCAUGUGUUCAAGCUAUUGAAUCAGCUGUUAAUCUUGUGGAUGAAGUAACUUACCCUGGAUCUGAGUUGAAUGUUACCUAGAGUAGAUGAACCUGGAUGCUUGUCAGCUGGCUUUAUGCAGGGGUUUUUCAUUCUGGUGUGUGGGAGCGCUGUGUUCAUUGGUGUCGUGCUGAUGGGGGUGUGGAGGUGUCCUACAAUCCCACCGGGGUAUCCUGACCUCGGUGGGUGGGGACAGCAGGGCACAGCCCCACUGCAGCAGCACAGACCCCCUGGGAUCUCUCUGCCUCCUGCAGGGGCUGUUACCAUCAGCGAGGUGGGGAUGAGCAGUUUCCUUUCUGCUGCCCAGUAUCCUAGUGUCUGUAUCCUAGUGUCUUGUUCUCUCCCUCUUGUUUUCUCCAGGACCAGCAUUCUGUAAACCUGAGAGUGCUUUGUAUUUCUUAGAAAAAUGCAGAACUUGUGAUUCUGAAAAGAAUGGUGCAAACCUGAUAUCUGAUUAAACUGGUUCCCUGUUGAAUGCUUUUAAA
ensembl:lncRNA